rnacentral:rRNA from 1 species
UAGGGAAUCUUCCGCAAUGGACGCAAGUCUGACGGAGCAACGCCGCGUGAGUGAAGAAGGAUUUCGGUUCGUAAAACUCUGUUGUUAGAGAAGAACAGCGCAUAGAGUAACUGUUAUGCGUGUGACGGUAUCUAACCAGAAAGCCACGGCUAACUACGUGCCAGCAGCCGCGGUAAUACGUAGGUGGCAAGCGUUGUCCGGAUUUAUUGGGCGUAAAGCGAGCGCAGGCGGUCAAUUAAGUCUGAUGUGAAAGCCCCCGGCUCAACCGGGGAGGGUCAUUGGAAACUGGUUGACUUGAGUGCAGAAGAGGAUAGUGGAAUUCCAUGUGUAGCGGUGAAAUGCGUAGAUAUAUGGAGGAACACCAGUGGCGAAGGCGACUCUCUGGUCUGUAACUGACGCUGAGGCUCGAAAGCGUGGGGAGCGAACAGG